AGCUGAUGGUUGCUGGUCGCUCGUGAAGGGAAGACUUGCAGGUGCCAUACUAAGCUGAGCCUGCUGCAUAAUCAUGGCUCUCUUUGUGAAUUCUGAAGCUGGAGUCCAGUGAACUUUACCCCAAAGAGACCUUGCUUUUUUACAGUGUGGAAAAAAAUUCAGCCAGCUCAGUCUAAAAGUGGAUGACCCCAGAUGAUACUAUACAUUACCGUAAGUAUGAGUAACUUAUUCCAUGAAUCAUUGAAAACAAACAUUAUAUCCGUGACAGAUUCUGCGACCC